rnacentral:rRNA from 1 species
UACGAACCGUGCGAACGUUGUUCGGAAUCACUGGGCUUAAAGGGCGCGUAGGCGGGCAGUCAAGUCAGGGGUGAAAUCCCGCGGCUCAACCGCGGAAGUGCCUUUGAUACUGGCUGUCUGGAGGGAGGUAGGGGCGUGCGGAACUUCCGGUGGAGCGGUGAAAUGCGUAGAUAUCGGAAGGAACGCCGGUGGCGAAAGCGGCGCGCUGGACCUCUUCUGACGCUGAGGCGCGAAAGCCAGGGGAGCAAACGGG